GGUUCUGAGAGGAAGGUCCCCCACAUUGGAACUGAGACACGGUCCAAACUCCUACGGGAGGCAGCAGUGAGGAAUAUUGGUCAAUGGACGAGAGUCUGAACCAGCCAAGUAGCGUGCAGGAAGACGGCCCUAUGGGUCGUAAACUGCUUUUAUAAGGGAAUAAAGUGAGAGUCGUGACUCUUUUUGCAUGUACCUUAUGAAUAAGGACCGGCUAAUUCCGUGCCAGCAGCCGCGGUAAUACGGAAGGUCCGGGCGUUAUCCGGAUUUAUUGGGUUUAAAGGGAGCGUAGGCCGGAGAUUAAGCGUGUUGUGAAAUGUAGACGCUCAACGUCUGCACUGCAGCGCGAACUGGUUUCCUUGAGUACGCACAAAGUGGGCGGAAUUCGUGGCGUAGCGGUGAAAUGCUUAGAUAUCACGAAGAACUCCGAUUGCGAAGGCAGCUCACUGGAGCGCAACUGACGCUGAAGCUCGAAAGUGCGGGUAUCGAACAGGAUUAGAUACCCUGGUAGUCCGCACGGUAAACGAUGGAUGCCCGCUGUUGGUCUGAAUAGGUCAGCGGCCAAGCGAAAGCAUUAAGCAUCCCACCUGGGGAGUACGCCGGCAACGGUGAAACUCAAAGGAAUUGACGGGGGCCCGCACAAGCGGAGGAACAUGUGGUUUAAUUCGAUGAUACGCGAGGAACCUUACCCGGGCUUGAAUUGCAGAGGAAGGAUUUGGAGACAAUGACGCCCUUCGGGGCCUCUGUGAAGGUGCUGCAUGGUUGUCGUCAGCUCGUGCCGUGAGGUGUCGGCUUAAGUGCCAUAACGAGCGCAACCCCUCUCCUUAGUUGCCAUCAGGUUAAGCUGGGCACUCUGGGGACACUGCCACCGUAAGGUGUGAGGAAGGUGGGGAUGACGUCAAAUCAGCACGGCCCUUACGUCCGGGGCUACACACGUGUUACAAUGGCAGGUACAGAGAGACGGUCCCUUGCAAAACGGAUCAAAUCCUUAAAGCCUGUCUCAGUUCGGACUGGGGUCUGCAACCCGACCCCACGAAGCUGGAUUCGCUAGUAAUCGCGCAUCAGCCAUGGCGCGGUGAAUACGUUCCCGGGCCUUGUACACACCGCCCGUCAAGCCAUGAAAGCCGGGGGCGCCUAAAGUCCGUGACCGUAAGGAGCGGCCUAGGGCGAAACUGGUAAUUGGGGCUAAGUCGUAACAAGGUA
rnacentral:rRNA from 1 species